rnacentral:ncRNA from 1 species
GAAAGCCGUAUUCGAUGAAAGUUGUAUGUACGGCUUGGAGGGAGAUCUUUCCACCGGCCUGACAGCUUUAGUUGAAUGAUCUGAUCCCUUUAUUCUCGAUUCUAG